rnacentral:rRNA from 1 species
AGUCGAGGGGCAGCAUUUUAGUUUGCUUGCAAACUAAAGAUGGCGACCGGCGCACGGGCUGAGCUAACACGCUAUCCAACCUGCCGAUAACUCGGGGAUAGCCUUUCGAAAGAAAGAUUAAUAUCCGAUAGUAUAUUAAAACCGCAUGGUUUUACUAUUAAAGAAUUUCGGUUAUCGAUGGGGAUGCGUUCCAUUAGUUUGUUGGCGGGGUAACGGCCCACCAAGACUACGAUGGAUAGGGGUUCUGAGAGGAAGGUCCCCCACAUUGGAACUGAGACACGGUCCAAACUCNUACGGGAGGCAGCAGUGAGGAAUAUUGGUCAAUGGACGAGAGUCUGAACCAGCCAAGUAGCGUGAAGGAUGACUGCCCUAUGGGUUGUAAACUUCUUUUAUAUGGGAAUAAAGUAUUCCACGGGUGGGAUUUUGUAUGUACCAUAUGAAUAAGGAUCGGCUAACUCCGUGCCAGCAGCCGGCGGUAAUACGGAGGAUCCGAGCGUUAUCCGGAUUUUAUUGGGUUUAAAGGGAGCGUAGGUGGAUUGUUAAGUCAGUUGUGAAAGUUUGCGGCUCAACCGUAAAAUUGCAGUUGAAACUGGCAGUCUUGAGUACAGUAGAGGUGGGCGGAAUUCGUGGUGUAGCGGUGAAAUGCUUAGAUAUCACGAAGAACUCCGAUUGCGAAGGCAGCUCACUAGACUGCAACUGACACUGAUGCUCGAAAGUGUGGGUAUCAAACAGGAUUAGAUACCCUGGUAGUCCACACAGUAAACGAUGAAUACUCGCUGUUUGCGAUAUACAGUAAGCGGCCAAGCGAAAGCAUUAAGUAUUCCACCUGGGGAGUACGCCGGCAACGGUGAAACUCAAAGGAAUUGACGGGGGCCCCGCACAAGCGGAGGAACAUGUGGUUUAAUUCGAUGAUACGCGAGGAACCUUACCCGGGCUUAAAUUGCAUUUGAAUAAUCUGGAAACAGGUUAGCCGCAAGGCAAAUGUGAAGGUGCUGCAUGGUUGUCGUCAGCUCGUGCCGUGAGGUGUCGGCUUAAGUGCCAUAACGAGCGCAACCCUUAUCUUUAGUUACUAACAGGUCAUGCUGAGGACUCUAGAGAGACUGCCGUCGUAAGAUGUGAGGAAGGUGGGGAUGACGUCAAAUCAGCACGGCCCUUACGUCCGGGGCUACACACGUGUUACAAUGGGGGGUACAGAAGGCAGCUACCUGGCGACAGGAUGCUAAUCCCAAAAACCUCUCUCAGUUCGGAUCGAAGUCUGCAACCCGACUUCGUGAAGCUGGAUUCGCUAGUAAUCGCGCAUCAGCCAUGGCGCGGUGAAUACGUUCCCGGGCCUUGUACACACCGCCCGUCAAGCCAUGAAAGCCGGGGGUACCUGAAGUACGAACCGCAAGGAG